rnacentral:rRNA from 1 species
UACGGAGGGUGCAAGCGUUAAUCGGAAUUACUGGGCGUAAAGCGCACGUAGGCGGAUUGUUAAGACGGGGGUGAAAUCCUGAGGCUCAACCUCAGAACUGCCUUCGAUACUGGCGAUCUUGAGUUCGGAAGAGGUUGGUGGAACAGCUAGUGUAGAGGUGAAAUUCGUAGAUAUUAGCUAGAACACCAGUGGCGAAGGCGGCCAACUGGUCCGAUACUGACGCUGAGGUGCGAAAGCGUGGGGAGCAAACAGG